rnacentral:rRNA from 1 species
GACGAACGCUGGCGGCGUGCUUAACACAUGCAAGUCGAACGGAAAGGCCCUGCUUUUGUGGGGUGCUCGAGUGGCGAACGGGUGAGUAACACGUGAGUAACCUGCCCUUGACUUUGGGAUAACUUCAGGAAACUGGGGCUAAUACCGGAUAGGAGCUCCUGCUGCAUGGUGGGGGCUGGAAAGUUUCGGCGGUUGGGGAUGGAAUCGCGGCUUAUCAGCUUGUUGGAGGGGUAGUGGCUUACCAAGGCUUUGACGGGUAGCCGGCCUGCGAGGGUGACCGGCCACGUUGGAACUGAAAUACGGCCCAGACUCGUACGGGAGGCAGCGGUGGGGUAUAGUGCACAAGGGGCGGAAGCCUGAUGCAGCAACGCCGCGUGCGGGAUGACGGGCUUCGGGUUGUGAACCGCUGUCGCCUGUGACGAAGCGUGAGUGACGGUAAUGGGUAAAGAAGCACCGGCUAACUACGUG